rnacentral:rRNA from 1 species
UACGAGGGGUGCAAGCGUUGCUCGGAAUUAUUGGGCGUAAAGGGCAGGUAGGUGGUCUUAUUUGUCUGGGGUGAAAUCCUUGAGCUUAACUCAAGAAGUGCCCUAGAAACGGUAGGACUGGAGUCUCUGAGAGGGUCGUGGAAUUCCCGGUGUAGCGGUGAAAUGCGUAGAGAUCGGGAGGAACACCAGCGGCGAAGGCGGCGACCUGGAAGAGGACUGACACUCAACUGCGAAAGCGUGGGUAGCAAACAGG